rnacentral:rRNA from 1 species
GUAGGUGGCAAGCGUUGUCCGGAAUUAUUGGGCGUAAAGCGCGCGCAGGCGGUUCUUUAAGCCUGAUGUGAAAGCCCACGGGCUCAACCGUGGAGGGUCAUUGGAAACUGGAGAACUUGAGUACAGAAGAGGAAAGCGGAAUUCCACGUGUAGCGGUGAAAUGCGUAGAGAUGUGGAGGAACACCAGUGGCGAAGGCGGCUUUCUGGUCUGUAACUGACGCUGAGGCGCGAAAGCGUGGGGAGCAAACAGGAUUAGAUACCCUGGUAGUCCACGCCGUAAACGAUGAGUGCUAAGUGUUAGGGGGUUUCCGCCCCUUAGUGCUGCAGCUAACGCAUUAAGCACUCCGCCUGGGGAGUACGGCCGCAAAGGCUG